CGAGGUGGCCAGACUGAGGCACGGCUUGCUGUGCCGAGAAGCUGCAGGACGCCUGGGGCAGUCGUAAACACACCGGCUGGGACGCCUCGUGCGUGGUUCGCUAGUCCCCGGCUGCGGUGGAGACCGACUGGGACGCCUCCCCGCCAGCCUGAGUUCACACCUCUGUGGGGGAGCCAGGCGGGAAGGUGGCUACGAGAGCCCUAGGAGCGGAACGGGGAAAUUAAAAAAGAGGAAUGGGCCAAAGCGUGGGGACCAGAGAAGCGGAAAGUCCCGGGGGGCCUCUCUAUGCAGAUGACUUUAGAGUCCUGGAUGGUAAGAGGAAGGCGGCCCGGGAAGAUCUGCAGGAAGGGUGUUCCAGAAGGAACCUCCUGCCUGGAGGUGUUGCCUGGAGCCAAAGGUGUUGCCUGAGAACGAUUGAUCCACUCCCAAGACUUGAUCCACAAAACACUGAACUGAGGCCCCAUGGGGAAAUGGAGCCAGAAUGCCAUCCCCCUGUGUGUGACCUACAGCCCCGUGGUCUUCUGCUAUUACCUUGCUUCUCUACACAUCAUCUCUGGCCCCUGGGAAUUUACCUUGUGGACUCAGCAGAGGUUGAGAGAUCUUUAGAAGGAUGCUGUCUCUGCAGCACUGUUUAUAAUAGAAAGUGGAAAGCACCAAAGCCAGGUUAGAGAAUAGCUAAGCAAAUCAUGGCCCACUUCACAGUAUUUGAAAAUGCUAAUUAUAAAGGUAAUGGAAACACAAGGAAAGGCCACAGAUAAUACAGUAAUUUUAAAAAGCCGCAUGCAAAAUGGUCUGUACGCUAUGAUUACAAUUGUGUCAAAAUACAGUCGUGUAGGGACUGCGAUAGAAUGUAGAAAUUCUUGUGUUGGGGAAUUCUUGAAAAUUCUUUGGUUGUUAAGGUGGUUUUUUUUCCCAUGUUCAAAAUUGUGCUUUACAGUUGUUGCUAAUUUGUUAUUCUAGGUAAAGCAUCAGUGUGCCUGAAUCCC